UGGGGAAUAUUGGACAAUGGGCGCAAGCCUGAUCCAGCCAUGCCGCGUGUGUGAAGAAGGCCUUCGGGUUGUAAAGCACUUUUGUCCGGAAAGAAAUCCUGUCGCUAAUACCCGGCGGGGAUGACGGUACCGGAAGAAUAAGCACCGGCUAAUUCGUGCCAGCAGCCGCGGUAAUACGAAGGGUGCAAGCGUUACUCGGAAUUACUGGGCGUAAAGCGUGCGUAGGUGGUUUGUUAAGUCUGAUGUGAAAGCCCUGGGCUCAACCUGGGAACUGCAUUGGAUACUGGCUUACUAGAGUGCGGUAGAGGGUGGCGGAAUUCCCGGUGUAGCAGUGAAAUGCGUAGAUAUCGGGAGGAACAUCCGUGGCGAAGGCGGCCAACCUGGACCAGCACUGACACUGAGGCACGAAAGCGUGGGGAGCAAACAGGAUUAGAUACCCUGGUAGUCCACGCCCUAAACGAUGCGACUGGAUGUUGGGAGCAACUAGCUUCAGUAUCGAAGCUAACGCGUUAAGUUCGCCG
rnacentral:rRNA from 1 species